CCAAUCCAGAAUUCAUCUGCGCUAUAACUGCCACCACAACUCCCACAUAGGGUUUCGUUAUGUUCAUCUUCAUCAGCCUCAUAAACCUCUUCUGUAAGCUUAGGAUUGCUCUUCACUGCUUGAACAUCGCUUGAUCUCUUUACACUGCCUCUUGAUUUGCUUCCACUAUCUGCACUGGGCUUUUCUUUUACAGGCUUCCUUCCUGUUACAACCUCAAAGACAGUGGGCAGAUCAUUGAUCAAGUUAAAUAGCCGUUUCCUCUCAUUGCGAUCAAGACGAGCUCCAAAAUAGAAUGCCACAGAAAUCAACCAUGAAUCACUAUGCACGGCAACCAGUGAAAGCCAGUCUUUUCGGUCCAUGCCAUCUCUUGCGAAAUUGAUUCCAAGGGCUGGUUCAGGAAGCUCAGGUGGAACUUCCUCAGCUGGCAGAUUUACUUCCCAGGUUUCGUUUGGAUGCCCAUAUAGACAUAAAUUCUCCUUUUCUGGAUCACAGAGUGCAUAGAAUUCAUCCACAUCGUUAGUUAAAGCACGAACAA
rnacentral:misc_RNA from 1 species